rnacentral:lncRNA from 1 species
GCCACCACACCCAGCCUAUUAUUUCUAAUACAGUUUUUUUUUUGUUUUUUUUUUUACUAUUCUUACUUCUACAAGUUAUUUACAAGAUGAAUCAAAAGAUAGAUGAUAGAUAAAUAGACAGAUACAGAUAGAUAAUUAAAAGCGUCCAUUGGACCUAAAUGGUAAAAGGUGAUUAUUUUUCCUGGUAUUCUGAGGGUUAAGGCCUCACAUGAUUCCUGUAACUCUACAAGUUACUUAUUAGUUGAGUAAACCUGAAAGAGAUUAAGAAUUCGGUGGCCUUUGUGAGGCACUGCCCCACCCUGCCCACCAGGCUCUGCCGCUCCAUGGCAACUCCAGCCAGCUCCUCCCUCCCCCUGCCACCAGCUGGUGAAGUCACCAGAACUGCCACCCUCGGGCAUUGUGGGGCAAUGAAGGUGGGUGGAGGGAAUGAGGCACCACAACAGUAUUUCCCUCUAGCAGCUCCUGGGACUGGGUUUUCUGGCAUUUCUAUCUCCCCCAAAUAUCUGUAACAGGCGGUGUUCAUAUCUCUAAAUCAGAGUUCUGGCUGCUGAGGUAGCAGGACUGAGACCGGGGCUGGACCCUGACUGAGACCCAGGAGCCAGCAGCCUCUAGCCACUCCAGUCACAGGCACAGCCCAGGGACCCACCGCCACGCCCUCCUGCAAGAUAAAGGAAGCAGCAACUCAGACAUCAGGACACACCCACCAAAACACAAGGAGAGGCCCUGAAAAGUAACUGGAAAGUCACAGACCGUUCUGGCAAGUGGAGUUGAUGAGAAACAGGCCCCAGAGACUCGGAUUGGAGCGAGAGAGUUCCAUGGGCUCAGCUGGGAAAUGAGGCACAAGGAGCCAGCCCCAGAACAGAGACCCCUCCAAAGCCAACAGCUCCAGAACCGCCUCUUGCCACAACAUUCAAUGCCCUGGCUUUGAUGUUUUGUGUCUCUUGCUGACUCACAAACUUGGGAGGUAACUGGCUUUCCCUAUCAAAAAUUACUAACCCUUGAGGGGCAAUUUCGCGAUAGCUGUCAACAUUUUCAAUGUUCAUAAUCUGGACACCAUUGAUUCUGCCUACUUUCAGGGGUUUUUCCUCAGAUAUGCCCAGACAUACACAGGAUUUCUGGAUCAUUGAUUAGGGAAAAAAUGAUGCCAUCUAAUUGUCUUUCAUCAAGAACCCACUAUUUGGCUGGGUGCAGUGGCUCACACCUGUAAUCCCAGCACUUUAAGA